rnacentral:rRNA from 1 species
CGGUAGGUAACCUGCCCAAGAGACUGGGAUAACACCUGGAAACAGAUGCUAAUACCGGAUAACAACACUAGACGCAUGUCUAGAGUUUAAAAGAUGGUUCUGCUAUCACUCUUGGAUGGACCUGCGGUGCAUUAGCUAGUUGGUAAGGUAACGGCUUACCAAGGCAAUGAUGCAUAGCCGAGUUGAGAGACUGAUCGGCCACAUUGGGACUGAGACACGGCCCAAACUCCUACGGAAGGCAGCAG